rnacentral:lncRNA from 1 species
UUGCUAGUUUAACCCUCUCAGCACAUAGCAUUCUCCCACUAUCCUGGUAACAGUACCUUUACCCAUAUAGCCCAUGUGCUUGGAGGAAGUACACCCUACUCUCAGUUCUAGAGUAGAACUCUGGGUGGUUUAAGCCCAUCAGCACAUCCCAUUGGCUUUGCUGCAGUGAUCAGUUAAAAUCAGAAGACUCAGUUCAGGCCAGUGAGAAACAAGGAGGUGUUUGCUGGGGCUUCUGGGAAAAAAUGCUUCCUGGCUCAGAGAACUACGAGGGAAGAGGUUCUCUCUCCCUGUUGGAGAUUCAUGUAGAACAAUAAAGAUCCGGAAGAUAGUGGAAAUAAUUUUGGAAGUGUAAUGGAAUUCAGCUUUAGGAGUAAGCGAGAUGUCAUAGGAAGCCAAGAAGAAAAAUGGAAAAAAGUAUUUCAUUUGAUGACAUAGAAAAACAAGUAUGACAGAGGUCUGAAGGACCAGAGGGGACCACUUAUUAGCUCAUCACAAACUUGAAACAGGCAAAAUGUACCUGUCAGAGCCUAAGUAGAACUGGAUUGCAUGAUGUAUGGCAGUGAUCUUCCAGAGCGCUCUCAAGUGUGUUUGACACGAGUGAACUGUGUUCGAGUUGAUUCUCCCUAUGGCAGUCCCAAAGCCUAAUUAUGAAAACACGAUAAGAUCAUUGCACAGUUAGACCAUUGCACCAUUGGCAUUCCUAAUAAACAGAUCAGCUUAGCCCAGCA